GACGAACGCUGGCGGCGUGCUUAACACAUGCAAGUCGAACGGUGAAGCGCCUUCCUUUUUGGUGGGUGUGGAUGAGUGGCGAACGGGUGAGUAACACGUGAGUAACCUGCCCCCUUCUUCUGGAUAACCGCAUGAAAGUGUGGCUAAUACGGGAUAUUCUGGGUCUGUCGCAUGAUGGGUCUGGGAAAGAUAUUGUUUCGGUGGGGGAUGGGCUCGCGGCCUAUCAGCUUGUUGGUGGGGUGAUGGCCUACCAAGGCGGUGACGGGUAGCCGGACUGAGAGGGUGGACGGUCACACUGGGAGUGAGACACGGCCCAGACUCGUACGGGAGGCAGCAGUGGGGAAUAUUGCACAAUGGGCGCAAGCCUGAUGCAGCGACGCCGCGUGAGGGAUGGAGGCCUUCGGGUUGUGAACCUCUUUCGCCAGUGAAGCAGGCCUGCCUCGUUUGUGGGUGGGUUGACGGUAGCUGGAUAAGAAGCGCCGGCUAACUACGU
rnacentral:rRNA from 1 species